rnacentral:rRNA from 1 species
UACGUAGGGGGCAAGCGUUGUCCGGAUUUAUUGGGCGUAAAGCGCGUGUAGGCGGCUAGGUAGGUCUGCUGUGAAAACUCGAGGCUCAACCUCGAGAUGUCGGCGGAAACCAUCUAGCUAGAGUCCGGAAGAGGAGAGUGGAAUUCCUGGUGUAGCGGUGAAAUGCGCAGAUAUCAGGAAGAACACCAAUGGCGAAGGCAGCACUCUGGGACGUGACUGACGCUGAGACGCGAAAGCGUGGGGAGCAAACAGG